rnacentral:rRNA from 1 species
AACGAACGCCGGCGGCGUGGAUAAGACAUGCAAGUCGAACGGGAUCAAGUUUGUAGCAAUACAUGCUUGGUCUAGUGGCGCACGGGUGCGUAACACGUGAGCAAUCUGCCGGGAAGUGGGGGAUAGCUCGCCGAAAGGCGAAUUAAUACCGCAUGUGACCAAGGAGGACAUCCUCUUGAAGUCAAAGCAGCAAUGCGCUUCCUGAUGAGCUCGCGGCCUAUCAGCUAGUUGGCGGGGUAACGGCCCACCAAGGCUAUGACGGGUAGCUGGUCUGAGAGUACGACCAGCCACACUGGAACUGCGACACGGUCCAGACACCUACGGGUGGCAGCAGUCGAGAAUUUUUCACAAUGGGGGAAACCCUGAUGGAGCGACGCCGCGUGGAGGAUGAAGGUCUUCGGAUUGUAAACUCCUGUCAUGCGGGAACAAGAAAGUGAUAGUACCGCAAGAGGAAGAGACGGCUAACUCUGUGCCAGCCGCCGCCGUAA